UUACCUGCUGCAGCUGUUGAUGAUUGUUUCCAUUUCUUGAUGAAACUGUAGAAUUGCAAGCCACUGCAGCGGCAGCGGCUGCGGCGAUGGCAGCUGACAUGUUGCAGUUCUUUAGAAAUAUAUGGUGGUGGAGCAGAGAAGAAGAAAUUGGAUGGUUUAAGGUAUAAAUUUGGAGAUAGCUCUACGCUCACCUAUAUAUGCGAUCUUUGAAAAGAGUACGUGCUGCUAGCUUGGAUUGGCGAAACAAGUAUGCUCAGAAGAGAGAGCGUACAGAGAAGUUUUUUGGCACCUCUAGAGAAAGCAAUUACACAUUCAAAUACACACACAUAGAGGUGGGGAGAGAGAGAGAGAGAGA
rnacentral:misc_RNA from 1 species